rnacentral:rRNA from 1 species
GUGAACGCUGGCGGUAGGCCUAACACAUGCAAGUCGAACGGCAGCACAGUAAGAGCUUGCUCUUACGGGUGGCGAGUGGCGGACGGGUGAGGAAUACAUCGGAAUCUACUUUUUCGUGGGGGAUAACGUAGGGAAACUUACGCUAAUACCGCAUACGACCUACGGGUGAAAGCAGGGGAUCUUCGGACCUUGCGCGAUUGAAUGAGCCGAUGUCGGAUUAGCUAGUUGGCGGGGUAAAGGCCCACCAAGGCGACGAUCCGUAGCUGGUCUGAGAGGAUGAUCAGCCACACUGGAACUGAGACACGGUCCAGACUCCUACGGGAGGCAGCAGUGGGGAAUAUUGGACAAUGGGCGCAAGCCUGAUCCGGCCAUACCGCGUGGGUGAAGAAGGCCUUCGGGUUGUAAAGCCCUUUUGUUGGGAAAGAAAAGCAGCAGGUUAAUACCCCGCUGUUCUGACGGUACCCAAAGAAUAAGCACCGGCUAACUUCGUG